GAAAGUUGCAAAGAACUUUGAAGAGAGAGUUCAAGAGGGCGUGAAACCGCUGAGAAGGAAACGGAUAGAGUUGACGAAACUCGACGGCGUUCAUCCGGUCGGCCUAGCGGCGUCACGGCUUCGCGCCUCGAUGAGGGCGAAGACGAGGAGUGCUGCCGGGUGCGUGACUGGUGUAUUCGCCGUCGGUAUGCGCCGAGAGCUUGGGCGCCGUGCGCUUGCGUACGCGUAGUGGACCACGUCCUCUGGGCGUGGAAACCUCCGCAUGCAAAGGCGUAUCGGUGCUCAAGUCGUCGGGUGCGUCUCGGCUAGUGUUGCGCAGCGGUUGCUGUUUGCUGGCACGGCUGUCGGGCGGUCGCGUGCGACUUGCCUAUGGCUGGCGUUAGCGAGCGGCGAUGCGGCUGCGUAGGGACGCAUUUCUCGGUGUAAACGUCGACCACCUAUCCGACCCGUCUUGAAACACGGACCAAGGAGUCUAGCAUAUGCGCGAGUCAUUGGGUGGUAAACCUAAAGGCGCAAUGAAAGUAAAGGUCGCCUCGAUGCGGCUGAUAUGGGAUCCGUGCGGUCGCGGCCGCACGGCGCACCAUAGCCCCGUCCUCGUCGCUUGCGAUAGGGCGGAGGAGGAGCGCAUACGCUGGGACCCGAAAGAUGGUGAACUAUGCCUGAGCAGGAUGAAGCCAGAGGAAACUCUGGUGGAGGUCCGAAGCGGUUCUGACGUGCAAAUCGAUCGUCUGAC
rnacentral:rRNA from 1 species